GAUGAGCAUGCGUCCCAUUAGCUAGUUGGUAAGGUAACGGCUUACCAAGGCAACGAUGGGUAGGGGUCCUGAGAGGGAGAUCCCCCACACUGGUACUGAGACACGGACCAGACUCCUACGGGAGGCAGCAGUGAGGAAUAUUGGUCAAUGGGCGCAAGCCUGAACCAGCCAUGCCGCGUGCAGGAUGAAGCAUCUAUGGUGUGUAAACUGCUUUUGUACGAGAAGAAACACUCCUUCGUGAAGGAGCUUGACGGUAUCGUAAGAAUAAGGACCGGCUAACUCCGUGCCAGCAGCCGCGGUAAUACGGAGGGUCCAAGCGUUAUCCGGAAUCAUUGGGUUUAAAGGGUCCGUAGGCGGUUUUGUAAGUCAGUGGUGAAAGCCCAUCGCUCAACGGUGGAACGGCCAUUGAUACUGCAAGACUUGAAUUAUUGGGAAGUAACUAGAAUAUGUAGUGUAGCGGUGAAAUGCUUAGAGAUUACAUGGAAUACCAAUUGCGAAGGCAGGUUACUACCAAUAUAUUGACGCUGAUGGACGAAAGCGUGGGGAGCGAUCAGGAUUAGAUACCCUGGUA
rnacentral:rRNA from 1 species